UACGUAGGGAGCAAGCGUUGUUCGGAUUUACUGGGCGUAAAGGGCGCGUAGGCGGCGCGGUAAGUCCCUUGUGAAAUCUCUGAGCUUAACUCAGAACGGCCAAGUGAUACUGCAGUGCUAGAGUGCAGAAAGGGCAAUCGGAAUUCUUGGUGUAGCGGUGAAAUGCGUAGAUAUCAGGAGGAACACCGGUGGCGAAGGCGGGUCUCUGGGCCGAUACUGACGCUGAGGAGCGAAAGCGUGGGGAGCGAACAGG
rnacentral:rRNA from 1 species